CCUACGGGAGGCAGCAGUGGGGGAUAUUGCACAAUGGGGGAAACCCUGAUGCAGCGACGCCGCGUGUGGGAAGACGGUCCUCUGGUUUGUAAACCACUGUCCCCAGGGACGAAGAUGACGGUACCUGGGGAGGAAGCUCCGGCUAACUACGUGCCAGCAGCCGCGGUAAUACGUAGGGAGCAAGCGUUGUCCGGAUUUACUGGGGGAAAAGGGAGCGUAGGCGGGAUGGCAAGUUGGGUGUUAAAUCUACCGGCUCAACUGGUAGUCGCACUCAAAACUGCUAUUCUUGAGUGAAGUAGAGGCAGGUGGAAUUCCUAGUGUAGCGGUGAAAUGCGUAGAUAUUAGGAGGAACACUAGUGGCGAAGGCGGCCUGCUGGGCUUUUACUGACGCUGAGGCGCGAAAGUGUGGGGAGCAAACAGGAUUAGAUACCCUAGUAGUC
rnacentral:rRNA from 1 species